ACCAUUUUUACAUAAAAAUUAGCCCAUUAUUGCCCGUAAAAACAGUACAAAAAAUUAAAAAAAAAAAAGGGUUCGUUCAUCCGCAAGUAUUUAAUGUAUAAAAGUUGUGUUUUUUAGAAGAAAAAUUUUAUUUAGAUCCGAGCAUUACUUUUUGAGUUACGUUACGCACCGACUUGAAAAAGUUGGAUUUAGAAAAACGCGUCUAAGUUUUAAAAGCAAUUGAAAGUAUAUGGUAACUAGAAAAUCGGUAUCUCAGCGAGCUUUAGUCCGCUCGACAGGAAACUUUAACAGAAUAUUCCUGAGAUAAUGUUCCAUUAUAUAAACAAUUAUUAAAAAAAAGUUUCAAACAAUCCUGCCCCCUUCACUCAAACAGACGGAGCAGUUUUCAGCAUCAAAGGCAGCAGAAUCAGUCCGCUUAUUGAGUAUACAUACAUACAUGUAUGUACAUAUGUACGUAUCAAUUAACGAUUAUUUGCGAGCAAAAUUUGUCGCUACGGCCCAGAAGAGGUGACAUGAUUGAAUGAAUGAAGGUGAUUAUAGAUUUUUUAAAUUAUGAACAUAGAGUUACAACUGUAGAAUUGCAAUUUACAUACAUAUGUAUGUUAAUUUUGCAAACAUAUUUAAGCAUCUACGUAAAGUGCCAAUUACAUACAUGUAUGUACAUGUAUGAGCACAUUUCAACAGCAUGAAUAUAAAACCCUGUUAGAUAUUUUUAUCACAUUCACCAUGUUUGUAUGUAGACACAAAUGAAUACUUCCAUAUUCAUACCAUGUUUUGAAAAUUCAAACAUACACACAUUUGUGCAUACAUAUGUAUGUGUGUAUGACGCUUUUAUUGUAUGAUAAAGAAUCCACAAUUUAAUUAGCAACGAAUGUACAUACAUAUGUGAGAUAUUUUUCACUAAUACGCCUCUGAAAAGUUGUAUGAGAAAAUGUAUGAGAAAUUACUGUUAAUAAUUAUAAGAUAUCUUAUCUCACAUUUAAAUUAAACAUAAUAAACUGAUAUUUUUCGUAUGGAUUAAUAAGUGUGUGUUUAUGUUUAUAUUUUAAUGGCAAUAGCGAAUUCUUACUUUUCAUUCCUUAAGAUUUAUUUCAUCACCAACUUAUAUUCUCAACCCAAAGUAAAUUAUUCAAAGAAAA